rnacentral:rRNA from 1 species
UACGAAGGUCCCAAGCGUUAUCCGGAUUUAUUGGGUUUAAAGGGUGCGUAGGCGGGUUAUUAAGUCAGUGGUGAAAGCUCCCAGCUCAACUGGGAAACUGCCAUUGAUACUGAUAGUCUUGAGUAUGAUUGAAGUGGGCGGAAUGUGUCAUGUAGCGGUGAAGUGCUUAGAUAUGACACAGAACACCGAUUGCGAAGGCAGCUCACUAAGCCAUAACUGACGCUGAUGCACGAAAGCGUGGGGAGCAAACAGG